rnacentral:rRNA from 1 species
ACGUAGGGUGCGAGCGUUAAUCGGAAUUACUGGGCGUAAAGGGCUCGUAGGCGGCCAACUAAGUCGGAUGUGAAAUCCCCAGGCUUAACUUGGGAACUGCAUCCGAUACUGGAUGGCUUGAAUUCGGGAGAGGGAUGCAGAAUUCCAGGUGUAGCGGUGAAAUGCGUAGAUAUCUGGAGGAAUACCGGUGGCGAAGGCGGCAUCCUGGACCGACAUUGACGCUGAGGAGCGAAAGCCAGGGGAGCAAACGGGA